GUGUUUCCUGUGCUGGGUGUAGCUGUUGCUCUCCCUUACUACUACCAGGUCCUCACCUCCCAUUCGAUGGGAACAUAUCUAAAACUGAAUUUCCAGCAGAAUGUGGGCUUGAAAAGUGAUGGGAAGGGGGGAGCUAAGCUGUAAGUAGCCCCCCGAGGCUUGUUGUCCUAAUGAAUACCAGGCCACAAAUUAAUGAAGGAGGUUUUAGGAAAACACUGCGAUUUUCUUAGGCUUUCAAGCAUCAGCAAAUCUUCCAGAAGUCCAGACAGCUGUUUACAGCUUGCUAAGAUGUUGAUUGUUUACAAAUUAGGUUGUCUUUGAAAACCUGCACCUCUCAGCCUGCUAAUGUCACUCAUCGUUGAAGUGAGGGUCCUUCUCAGCCAAAGAAGAAAGGCAAACUUUGGUGGUCUGGUCUGUAGGGAGCCUCCUUGGUUUUACCUCAGGAGUAUCCAGUAUUUUUCUAACCUCCCCAUUUCACCAUUUCAGGUGGUUUUGCCCUGGAUUUUCUUCAGCAUUCACAAAUUCAUUUGUUUGCAAUUGUUCCUAACUGAAACAGUUGCAAGCACAAACAUCGUCUCUUCUUUUUUGCAUAUGCAAAAUAGUUUUUGGCUUUUCUCUAGAAACAAAGGCUGGAGUCUGGGGAAAAAAAAAAAGAAUAUGAUAUAAAGGAGGAGCUUCUGUAUGAGAAGAUUUGUUUUCUCCCUGACAGCUGUACAGCACCAAUUGACCAGGUUGUGAAGUCAAGGCCAGAGCCUUCAGCAUUCAGCAGCUUCCUGUGUCUUAAUGUUUCUGUUUGGGGAAUGAACUGCAAUUUGUUUUCACUGACCCAUAGCUUCAGUUGCAGAGUGUAGGAUUACCUUAAUAGACCCAAACUUGAGGCACAUCAACUCUAUUUUUAGUCCUUUCUUGUGCCAUUCGUGCCUGGGCUGUCUGCAGAGCCCACUGUGCUUGCUCUCUGCCCAUGCAGGGGAUCUGGAGGAGAGAGGGAAUGCUCUGGGAUUGUCUGCCCAGCCAAGGGCAGGGUGGGCCAGGGGAGUGCCCACCACCAUCCUGCUGUGCCUCUGGCUCUGUUCCCCACCCCCAGUGCAUCCCAGGAGCCUGUUCCAAUAACAAUUAGCCCUGACUCAGGGGCACCAUAAAUCAAACCCUGAGCCCCCCAGCAAAACCAAUUUCCUGGCUGCAAGGGAAUGUGCUCCAUAAUUUUCUGUGUGCCAUCCAGACCUGCUAUUUAGCAAAGGCUGCAGGUUUUUAUUUCUCAUGAGGGAGUGGUGUGGUGCAUCCCUGUACACCAUAUCACCUUGUGUUUACUCUGGACAUGGACAGCAGACACCCAGGAUACAACUUCAAGCCAGAGCUCUCCAUCAUAGUCAGACUGCAGCUGGACAGACCUGAUGCAGCCUCUUGAUGUCCUGGCACUGCUUAGAAGGCAGCUUUGGAAAAAGUCUUUGGAUACCUUCAGGCUGGUGGGAGAACUGAUGUCGCAUAGUCAGACAUCCCUGAGAUUAGCAGCUGCACGACAGACCCAUAAACCCCAGGUUUUGUCAGCAAGGAAGACAAAUGCAUUUGAGCUCCACAGUGUGUUAUUUACAAAGGGAGAACUGGUUGUUCCUUGGCUUGUCAGACAACAGAAGAAAGUGUUCUGGUUUUAGUUGCUACCCUUAGGUCCUGUACAGUCAGUACAGUGGAUGAAGCAGCUUCCCAGCCCCAGGUGGCUCAGGAAUGCCAAAUAUUUUGAGACCUUCUAUAAGUACCACAGAGGAUGAAGUCCUCUUCUCCUCCAGUUGUCCUUGACGCUCCGCCUCUUAUCCACCUGCUCUGCUCUAAAAAACUUUGUUUUUAUUAGUUGGUGUUAAAGUUCCCAGGAGAAAAGUGUUUUCCUUUUUUUCUACUCACUUUCAAUACUGUAGGAAACUCUGGGUGAAAUACAUAAAAACAAGUUAAGAUCAGAAUUUCCCAAAGUGAAUAGUGAUUUCAGAUGCCUCUGCUCCACAAACAGCUUUAACAAACCCAGUGGUGAGUCAGAAUGAAAUGUUCACUGAGAUUGCAAGCAGGCCUCCCAGCACUCAAAGUAUCUGAAUAUGUCUCCAGGGAAAGAAAGAGUUAAUGGAGUUACCUUACAUUUAGUAUUCAUUCUUUUUUCAGCUUUGUCAGGUAGCAGCCAACAAGCCCAGGCUUGACUUGGAGCAUCAGCUCUGUACUAGCAUAGUCUUGUGGGCAGACUAAUGUAAUAUUAAUGGGAUUGACAUCUCUGCUGAGAUCAGUUACAAAUGCAGGAUCCAAGUUAUUUAACAGCUGGUGCAACUGUAUUUGAAUUUCGAUCAUAAAGACACAUGCUGGGUUAACAGGGCCAGGGGCAGGGCCAGAAUCCUGUACAGCAGAAGUGGCCUGGGACUCAUGUUUUUAAGGCAAAAUAAUCUGGGGAAAAACUCCCAGAUUAUUCCUAUAUAUUUUUUCAGAAUGGAUAUUCUAGAGAUAAGCAGGUUACAUAGUCAACACUUAAUCUUAAACUGACACUCAUUAAACUCCUUAAAAGAUCUGGGAGUGUGAAGAGCAAAAAACAUUUGUGAGCAUGUUCUACAAGGUGGCCUAAUUUACCCUUCCUGAAGAAAGAGAUCUAGACACUGGGCAAACCUGGCAAGGUCAAAGGUCUUUGGAAGGGGAAAAACAUGUGGAUGACAGUCUAAGUUAUGUUAUAACACAAAACUCGAGUUUGAAUCACUGAGAAUUCACAGGAAAAGGGAUCUUGUUUCUCUAUAUAAUAACCACAACCUUACAAAUUUCUCCUGGAAAUUUCAGCUAAAAACCCCCCCACACACACACACAAAAACCCCCACCCUAUAUUUUCCC